GGCCGGCUGGCCUAAUGGUUAAGGCGUCAGUUUCCGGUCAUAUCUUGUGAUUCCCUAGCUGAAGAUUCCGAGUUCGACUCUCGGGUUGGUCG